rnacentral:rRNA from 1 species
GUAUAUGAGGUGAUUAAUUGGAGGGCAAAUCAAGUGCCAGCAGCCGCGGUAAUACUUGUUCCAAGAGUGUGUAUGAUGAUUGAUGCAGUUAAAAAGUCCGUAGUUUAUUUUUUAAGAAGCAAUAUGAGGUGUACUGUAUAGUUGGGAGAAAGAUGAAAUGUGACGACCCUGACUGGACGAACAGAAGCGAAAGCUGUACACUUGUAUGUAUUUUUUGAACAAGGACGUAAGCUGGAGGAGCGAAGAUGAUUAGAUACCAUUGUAGUUCCAGCAGUAAACCAUGCCGACGAUGUGAUAUGAAAAUAUUAAUUUGUAUUACAUAAUAGAAAUUUGAGUUUUUUGGCUCUGGGGAUAGUAUGAUCGCAAGAUUGAAAAUUAAAGAAAUUGACGGAAGAAUACCACAAGGAGUGGAUUGUGCGGCUUAAUUUGACUCAACGCGAGGUAACUUACCAAUAUUUCAUUAUUUUGAGAGAACGGUUUUUUGUUUGAGAAUGAUAAUAGUGGUGCAUGGCCGUUUCCAAUGGAUGCUGUGAAGUUUUGAUUAAUUUCAACAAGACGUGAGACCCUUAUUUUUUAUUAAAGACAGACACAAUCAGUGUAGGAAGGAAAGGAUUAAAACAGGUCCGUUAUGCCCUCUGACAUUUUGGGCUGCACGCGCAAUACAAUAGAUAUA